rfam:Danio rerio chromosome 4, GRCz11 reference primary assembly.
GGCUCUGUGGCGCAAUGGAUAGCGCAUUGGACUUCUAGGCUGUGAGCUGAGCCAUUCAAAGGUUGUGGGUUUGAGUCCCACCUGAUUCG